rnacentral:tRNA from 1 species
AAACCCAUAGUGUAAGGGUAGCACACAAGAUUUUGAUUCUUGGAGUCUGAGUUCAAAUCUCGGUGGGUUUUCAA